GUUAAGAGACAGAGGUCACCCCGGUCACCAUGGCGUACCGGGAGAGCAGGGCUUACCUGGCGCCGCCGGGAAGGAGGGAGCUAAGGGCGACCCGGGCACAGGAGGGACUUCUGGGAAAGCUGGUCCUCCAGGACUUAGGGGCUUCAGAGGCAGCAGAGGGGCUGCCGGGGGCAUGGGUCCUGCUGGUCUGAAAGGAGGUGAAGGACCAGUCGGAGCAGCAGGAGCUAUAGUGAG